rnacentral:rRNA from 1 species
GAUUUCUGACUUGGCGCACCUGGCCCGCCACGGUAACGUGUGUGAGUGCCGGGAUGCGCCUGUCACUUAUUCUAGUAAACUAUUAUGCUCUUCACUGAGUAUGAUAGGUAGCUAGAUAUUUUACUUUGAAAAAAUUAGAGUGUUUAAAGCAGGCGUCUUGCUAUGAAUACAUUAGCAUGGAAUAAUAAGUUAGGACUUCGGUUCUAUUUUGUUGGUUUCUAGGACUGAAGUAAUGAUUGAUAGGGAUAGUUGGGGGUGCUAGUAUUCAGCGGCCAGAGGUGAAAUUCUUGGAUUCGCUGAAGACUAACUUAUGCGAAAGCAUU